rnacentral:lncRNA from 1 species
ACUAUGUGAAAAAAAUUCAAACGAAAAAGCUAACGGUCUAUUUUACAAAAAAAACAAAUAUGACACAUAUGUAUACAACGACAACAAUUGAACUUCGUGCUCCUGACUUGGGGCAGGUACAUAAAGAAAGUGCACGUGGCGGAGUUUAACAUGUAUAUGAGAGAACAUCGAACUGUAACAGUAGUGUAACAGCACAACACGAGAAAAAAAUGUAAACUAGACAAAUCGAUGCCCCCGCACUCCACUCAUUUAACCGCUUAUACCCC